AAUCAUAUCUUAAAAAUUAUAUCAUCCAAAUGCAAGUGAGAGCAACCCGGAGAGACUUUGACAGUUCAGGUCAACCCAGUACCUGUGGCUGCCGCUCGCAUUUCCUGCAAGG
rnacentral:snoRNA from 1 species